CACCAAUCAAGCGCAGCUUGGUGUUGGGCGUCUUGUCUCUAGCUUGGCUGGAGACUCGCCUUAAAGUCAUUGGCAGCCGGCCUACUGGUUUCGGAGCGCAGCACAAGUCGCGCUCUCUCCCAGCCAAGGUCAGCGUUCCAGUAAGCCUUUUUUCAAC
rnacentral:misc_RNA from 1 species